CCUACGGGUGGCAGCAGUGAGGAAUAUUGGUCAAUGGCCGGAAGGCUGAACCAGCCAAGUCGCGUGAGGGAAGAAGGCCCUCUGGGUGGUAAACCUCUUUUGUCAGGGAGCAAAGGCGUCCACGUGUGGACGAGAGGAAAGUACCUGAAGAAAAAGCAUCGGCUAACUCCUUGCCAGCAGCCGCGGUAAUACGGAGGAUGAGAGCGUUAUCCGGAUUUAUUGGGUUAAAGGGGUGCGUAGGCGGAGUGUCAGGGCAGCGUUAAAAUUUCGGGGCUCAACCCCGUCGUGACUUUGAAACUGGCGGCCUUGAGGGAGUGAGAAGUAAGCGGAAUGCGUGGUGUAGCGGUGAAAUGCAUAGAUAUCACGCAGAACGUCGAUUGCGAAGGCAGCUUACCGGCGCUCAACUGACGCUGAGGCACGAAAGUGCGGGUAUCGAACAGGAUUAGAUACCCUAGUAGUC
rnacentral:rRNA from 1 species